rnacentral:rRNA from 1 species
GAUGAACGCUGGCGGCGUGCCUAAUACAUGCAAGUCGAGCGAACAGAUAAGGAGCUUGCUCCUUUGACGUUAGCGGCGGACGGGUGAGUAACACGUGGAUAACCUACCUAUAAGACUGGGAUAACUUCGGGAAACCGGAGCUAAUACCGGAUAACAUAUUGAACCGCAUGGUUCAUUAGUGAAAGGCGGCUUUGCUGUCACUUAUAGAUGGAUUGCGGCGGAUUUGGCUAGUUGUUAAGGUAACGGUUUACCAAGGCAACGUGACGUAGCCGACCUGGGAGGGGGACGGGCCACAUGGGAACGGGGAAACGGCCCAGACGCUUAGGGGAGGAAGCAGUAGGGAAUCUUCCGCAAUGGGCGAAAGCCUGACGGAGCAACGCGGGGUGAGGGAUGAAGGUCUUGGGAUCGUAAAACUCUGUUAUCAGGGAAGAACAAAUGUGUAAGUAACUGUGCACAUCGUGACGGUACCUGAUCAGAAAGCCACGGCUAACUACGUG